rnacentral:rRNA from 1 species
AACGAACGCUGGCGGCAUGCCUAACACAUGCAAGUCGAACGAGACCUUCGGGUCUAGUGGCGCACGGGUGCGUAACGCGUGGGAACCUGCCCUUAGGUUCGGAAUAACUCCCCGAAAGGGGUGCUAAUACCGGAUAAUGUCUUCGGACCAAAGAUUUAUCGCCUUUGGAUGGGCCCGCGUUGGAUUAGCUAGUUGGUAGGGUAAAAGCCUACCAAGGCGACGAUCCAUAGCUGGUCUGAGAGGAUGAUCAUCCACACUGGGACUGAGACACGGCCCAGACUCCUACGGGAGGCAGCAGUGUGGAAUAUUGGACAAUGAGCGAAAGCCUGAUCCAGCAAUGCCGCGUGAGUGAUGAAGGCCUUAGGGUUGUAAAGCUCUUUUACCCGGGAUGAUAAUGACAGUACCGGGAGAAUAAGCACCGGCUAACUCCGUG